CCUACGGGAGUCUGCAGUGAGGAAUAUUGGUCAAUGGGCGCGAGCCUGAACCAGCCAAGUAGCGUGAAGGAUGACUGCCCUACGGGUUGUAAACUUCUUUUAUAAAGGAAUAAAGUGAGGCCCGUGUGCCUUUUUGUAUGUACUUUAUGAAUAAGGAUCGGCUAACUCCGUGCCAGCAGCCGCGGUAAUACGGAGGAUCAGAGUGUUAUCCGGAUUUAUUGGGUUUAAAGGGAGCGUAGAUGGGUUGUUAAGUCAGUUGUGAAAGUUUGCGGCUCAACCGUAAAAUUGCAAUUGAUACUGGCAGUCUUGAGUACAGUUGAGGAAGGCGAAAGUCGUGGUGGAGCGGUGAAAUGCUGAGAUAGCAC
rnacentral:rRNA from 1 species